rnacentral:rRNA from 1 species
UAGGGAAUCUUCGGCAAUGGACGAAAGUCUGACCGAGCAACGCCGCGUGAGUGAAGAAGGUUUUCGGAUCGUAAAACUCUGUUGUUAGAGAAGAACAAGGACGUUAGUAACUGAACGUCCCCUGACGGUAUCUAACCAGAAAGCCACGGCUAACUACGUGCCAGCAGCCGCGGUAAUACGUAGGUGGCAAGCGUUGUCAGGAUUGAUUGGGCGUAAAGCGAGCGCAGGCGGUUUCUUAAGUCUGAUGUGAAAGCCCCCGGCUCAACCGGGGAGGGUCAUUGGAAACUGUGAGACUUGAGUGCAGAAGAGGAGAGUGGAAUUCCAUGUGUAGCGGUGACAUGCGUAGAUUUAUGGAGGAACACCAGUGGCGAAGGCGGCUCUCUGGUCUGUAACUGACGCUGAGGCUCGAAAGCGUGGGGAGCAAACAGG